rnacentral:rRNA from 1 species
AAAGAAUGACGUUGAUAGGCCGGGUGUGUAAGCGCAGCGAUGCGUUGAGCUAACCGGUACUAAUGAACCGUGAGGCUUAACCUUACAACGCCGAAG